AGAGUUUGAUCCUGGCUCAGAGCGAACGCUGGCGGCGUGCUUAACACAUGCAAGUCGAGCGAGAAAGGGGGCUUCGGCUCCUGAGUACAGCGGCGAACGGGUGCGUAAUACAUGGGUAAUCUACCCUUGAGGCGGGAAUAACCCAGCGAAAGUUGGGCUAAUACCGGAUAAGACCACAAGAGGAAACUCUAGGGGUCAAGGGCAACUUUCUUUUGGAGGUGGUCCUUUGAGGAGGAGCCCAUGGCCUAUCAGCUAGUUGGUAGGGUAACGGCCUACCAAGGCGAAGACGGGUAGCUGGUCUUAGAGGAUGAUCAGCCACACGGGGACUGAGACACGGCCCCGACUCCUACGGGAGGCAGCAGUGGGGAAUAUUGGGCAAUGGGGGAAACCCUGACCCAGCGACGCCGCGUGGGUGAUGAAGGCCUUCGGGUCGUAAAGCCCUGUCUGGAGGAAAGAAUGAUCUUGUGGUGAACAUCCGCAAGAUGUGACGGUACCUCCGAAGGAAGCACCGGCCAAUUCCGUGCCAGCAGCCGCGGUAAGACGGAAGGUGCAAGCGUUGCUCGGAAUCACUGGGCGUAAAGGGUGCGUA
rnacentral:rRNA from 1 species